UAGUAAAAACUUCAUCAAUUUCUACUGUUAAAAACUGACGUUGCUGCCAAAAUAAUCAGACAAUUACAUGUGGCAUGCCAUGUGUACCUCAUUCUGACACACAGGGAUCAAUUUUUAACAGUAGAAAUAGAUGGAAUUUUUAAUA
rfam:Gossypium hirsutum cultivar TM-1 chromosome 19, whole genome shotgun sequence